AAGAAAAAAGUAAAGGACUAAAUUGUAAAGUUUAGUCACAUUUUGUAUCGAGUACUUAUCUAGUCACUCGGGGAUCGAAGGAAAUGUCGGAGGCCGAUCACACUAUCAAAGAAAUAACUCGGUAUAAUUAGACGUUUUGUUUUGUGUAUGGCAUGUAUAGAAACUUAGCCACUUUUGGUAUAAUAUGAACAAUGAAUGAUGUGUAAAUACUUGCUAGUGAUUAGCUAAUAAAAAUGGCCGAUGAUAUGCAUGUUUAUUAA